rnacentral:rRNA from 1 species
ACUCCUGCGGGAGGCAGCAGUGGGGAAUAUUGGACAAUGGGCGCAAGCCUGAUCCAGCCAUGCCGCGUGAGUGAUGAAGGCCCUAGGGUUGUAAAGCUCUUUCACCGGUGAAGAUAAUGACGGUAACCGGAGAAGAAGCCCCGGCUAACUUCGUGCCAGCAGCCGCGGUAAUACGAAGGGGGCUAGCGUUGUUCGGAUUUACUGGGCGUAAAGCGCACGUAGGCGGACUAUUAAGUCAGGGGUGAAAUCCCGGGGCUCAACCCCGGAACUGCCUUUGAUACUGGUAGUCUUGAGUUCGAGAGAGGUGAGUGGAAUUCCGAGUGUAGAGGUGAAAUUCGUAGAUAUUCGGAGGAACACCAGUGGCGAAGGCGGCUCACUGGCUCGAUACUGACGCUGAGGUGCGAAAGCGUGGGGAGCAAACAGGAUUAGUUACCCCAGUAGUCCCAUGA